CUGCCAACCUGCUGUGCAUAGGCAGUAAAUAAAAAAAAAGGAACUAAAGGAAUAGUCCAUGUUCAUUUAUCCGUUUAAGCUGAGCCAAACGAAGAGUUGCUGGUGCAGAGACUUAACAGAAUAGCAUCUUAAUUGCUUAUCAGGAUGACAAAGGCACUUUCUGCAAUGUGGAUUAAAUUCCAGUCCAGUCUGUCCACAUUAUCAGUAAUGAAAUGUGGGAUUUGACACCUUGAGAUGUAAGCCUGCUGUUUCAUUCUCAACACUGUAUGACUACCCUAUUUUCAGUUGAAAAGUUUCACAGAAAUAUAUGAAGAAUUAAGAAUCUAUCGUUUGGCCUCAGCAAGCCAUGAAUCAGUUUUGUACAAGCAAAAGUGAAGAUGGAUACCCUCUGGUGUGGCAGACUUGUUACGAGAAGAGUAGAAUGUGAGCUUUCAAAAAGGCCAUGAUUAUUUCACAGAAUCACUGAAUUGUAGGGGUUGGAAUGGACCUCUGAAGAUCAUCCAACCCCCUGAUAAAGCAGUUUCCCUUCAUGAAGUUACACAGGAAAGCUUCCAGGUGUCCACUGUGAUGCAACAGAGCUACUGACUAGGAUAUACAUGUGCCUGGUGAAAGUAGUGGUCCAAGAGAGUUACAUGGAAGGAAACAUUCUGCAUUCCUUCCUAAUACAUCCUCCUUAGCCAACAGAACUUGGUUUCACAGCUGUCAGUGUAUGCGGCUUCAGUUCCCUCUCUGUCAUCCAUUCUGACAUGAGCACUUGCCAAAAGUGAUAAGCUGCUUUUCUGCAUUCUUUCUUUACAGUACCAUAAGCAAAAACUAAAAGGAAGAGAGGAAGAAUUAUCAGAAAUUGAUUCAACUCUUGUCCUUGGUAGAGAUAUUUCUUUCCCAUUUCUUAUGAAGUCAAAAAAUUAUUAGUGUGAUUACUGUAUGAAAUCCAAUCACAGUGUGUGAGAAGAAAAGUAAUACAAAUUUGAAAUUGGAACAAGCAGCUUAACAGCUUUCAAAGGUGUUCUGUGUGCUCUUGGUAUUUCCUUCUCAUCAGGCUCUGGCAAGAAGCCCAAGACCUGAAUGGUUUUGUACAUUUUAUUUAUUAAAAUUCUCUGGAAACAGA